rnacentral:rRNA from 1 species
AUUGAACGCUGGCGGCAGGCCUAACACAUGCAAGUCGAACGAGUGGCGGACGGGUGAGUAAUUUCUGGGAAACUGCCUGAUGGAGGGGGAUAACUACUGGACCCGGUCGCUAAUACCGCAUCCCAUCGGAUGUGCCCAGAUGGGAUUCGCUAGUAGGUGGGGUAAAGGCUCACCGAGGCUACGAUCCCUAGCUGGUCUGAGAGGAUGACGAGCGACACUGGAACUGAGACACGGUCCAGACUCCUACGGUAGGCAGCAGUGGGGAAUAUUGCACAAUGGGCGCAAGCCUGAUGCUGCCAUGCCGCGUGUAUGAAGAAGGCCUUCGGGUUGUAAAGUACUUUCAGCGGGGAGGCGUUACCCGCAGAAGAAGCACAGGCUAACUCCGUGCCAGCAGCCGCGGGAAUAC